UACGGAGGGGGCUAGCGUUGUUCGGGAUUACUGGGCGUAAAGCGCGCGUAGGCGGAUCUGUAAGUUGGGGGUGAAAUCCCGAGGCUCAACCUCGGAACUGCCUUCGAUACUGCAGAUCUCGAGUCCGAGAGAGGUGAGUGGAAUUCCUAGUGUAGAGGUGAAAUUCGUAGAUAUUAGGAAGAACACCAGUGGCGAAGGCGGCUCACUGGCUCGGUACUGACGCUGAGGCGCGAAAGCGUGGGGAGCAAACAGG
rnacentral:rRNA from 1 species